UACGGAGGGUGCAAGCGUUAUCCGGAUUCACUGGGUUUAAAGGGUGCGUAGGCGGGUUGGUAAGUCCGUGGUGAAAUCUCCGAGCUUAACUCGGAAACUGCCGUGGAUACUAUCAAUCUUGAAUAUCGUGGAGGUAAGCGGAAUAUGUCAUGUAGCGGUGAAAUGCUUAGAUAUGACAUAGAACACCAAUUGCGUAGGCAGCUUACUACACGAUCAUUGACGCUGAGGCACGAAAGCGUGGGGAGCAAACAGA
rnacentral:rRNA from 1 species